rnacentral:lncRNA from 1 species
AACCACACAUUAGCUAAUCAGCAGGUUGAGGGGAAAGCUGCCAAAAGCAGAUCUGAUAAUUGGCAGCAUUCAAACAAUCAUAGCAGGAAACUUUACACUUCCUGCAGACAAGGCUACUGAUGAAGACAAUGCUGAGAUAUAACUUUAGGGGAAAAGAAUUAGGAUGUUUAGUACUUUCAUGUUUAAUGAUCUCUUGAAAAACUGGAUUCACAGCUCAUGGGAGGCACAGGUAUUUUGCACAGAAACAAUGUAGAAAACCACCCAACACUGGUAAAGGGAGUUCUGAUAGCCUAGUGAUCAACUAGAAGCAUUCAUGAGAUUUGUCCUCUGCCAAGUUUUACAAGCCAUUUAAAACACCUUUUUAUUUGUCUACAUCCAUAUAUGGUACAGUUAUUACUGUAAUAGGUGAGAACUUGACACAUUUAUCAGCACAACAUUCCCGAGAUAAAUAUCAACAAAUCCAUCCCACUGGUAGCUAUUUUAAACACACAUCAGCUGAGUUUUAGACCUACUCAAGACUUCAGGUGAUUUAGAUGAGAUUUAAAACAAAAUUCAAUGUUCUAAUUUUCCACUCAUCUACUGCUUAGCUUUGGCACUAUCUAAAUUCUUUCAAGCGUUUAAAGUCACCCAAAUUUCCUCAUAUAUUCUCCUUUAAGGAAUAGAAACACUUCAGUCUUCACAGUGUGAAGAAGCUGUAGCUCUUCGGUCAAAGAAGUUCAACUUUCAGCAUUAUCCGCCACUAAGCAUCCUUCAUUUAUCUCAUUGUUGGCAGCAUUCUUGCUAAUGUUUUACUUCACAUAUCUUUCAGAUCAAGUACAGCAGGAAUGGCUGUAGAAGAGCAGAGAUGAAGAUCUCCCACUUCUCCUCACAUCUGAGUUGACUCAGGUUCUGUGGGCAAACAUACCUGUGAGUUUCUUUCACAGAGAGGAACAGUUUCAACAGGAAAAGAUGGCAGCAGAGGGAUUGUCUGACAAAAUGGAGUCUGACCUGGAAAGGCAUAUGAAGUGUGGAACUGAACUCCUCCAUGUGGAAAAAAUGGAACCCAUUGACAUUCAUUGAUGUUUGUUGAACAUUUAUGGAGACCAAACAGUGGAUGUGAGCGCUGCGAGGUGGAUUAAACAAGCAAGUUUCUGGGAUGUGCAGAAAUGGAGAUCACUGGAAGCAAGAAAAAAAAAAAAGGGCGGUCAGCAAAACACUAGAAAUGCUUCAGAGGUGAUGACAGGAAUGAAGAGUCAACAUCUGCAAAGGCCAAC